GACGAACGCUGGCGGCGUGCCUAACACAUGCAAGUCAACUUGACUGAAGGAGCAAUCUGACAGUAGAGUGGCGCAAGGGUGCGUAACGCGUAAGUAACUUGCCCCAAGGUAAGGAAUAACGUCGAGAAAUCGGCGCUAAUACCUCAUAAUGCAGCGGAUCCGCAUGGAUAUGUUGUUAAAGGUUUACCGCCUUGGGAUAGGCUUGCGUCUGAUUAGCUAGUUGGUGUGGUAACGGCACACCAAGGCUACGAUCAGUAACUGGUCUGAGAGGAUGAUCAGUCACACUGGAACUGAGACACGGUCCAGACUCCUACGGGAGGCAGCAGUGAGGAACAUUGGGCAAUGCUCGAAAGAGUGACCCAGCAACGCCGCGUGGAGGAUGAAGGUAUUCUAUAUCGUAAACUCCUGUGAGAGCAGACGAAAGACAGAUUAUAAUCUGGAUGACUGUAUGCUCAGAGGAAGCCCCGGCUAACUACG
rnacentral:rRNA from 1 species